CCGGCACGGUGAGUAACACGUAUGCAAUCCACCUGUAACAGGGGGAUAACCCGGAGAAAUCCGGACUAAUACCCCAUAAUAUGGGCGCUCCGCAUGGAGAGCCCAUUAAAGAGAGCAAUUUUGGUUACAGACGAGCAUGCGCUCCAUUAGCCAGUUGGCGGGGUAACGGCCCACCAAAGCGACGAUGGAUAGGGGUUCUGAGAGGAAGGUCCCCCACACUGGAACUGAGACACGGUCCAA
rnacentral:rRNA from 1 species